rnacentral:rRNA from 1 species
CUGAGUACGGCGGAACACGUGAAAUUCCGUCGGAAUCCGGGAGGACCAUCUCCCAAGGCUAAAUACUCCCUAGUGACCGAUAGUGAACCAGUACCGUGAGGGAAAGGUGAAAAGCACCCCGGAAGGGGAGUGAAACAGUUCCUGAAACCGUGUGCCUACAAGUAGUUAGAGCCCGUUAAUGGGUGAUAGCGUGCCUUUUGUAGAAUGAACCGGCGAGUUACGAUUUGUUGCAAGGUUAAGCGGAAAAAGCGGAGCCGUAGCGAAAGCGAGUCUGAAUAGGGCGCAUAAGUAACAGGUCGUAGACCCGAAACCAGGUGAUCUACCCAUGUCCAGGAUGAAGGUAAGGUAAUACUUACUGGAGGUCCGAACCCACGCACGUUGAAAAGUGCGGGGAUGAGGUGUGGGUAGCGGAGAAAUUCCAAUCGAACUUGGAGAUAGCUGGUUCUCUCCGAAAUAGCUUUAGGGCUAGCCUCGAGGUAAAGAGUCAUGGAGGUAGAGCACUGUUUGGACUAGGGGCCCUUCUCGGGUUACCGAAUUCAGAUAAACUCCGAAUGCCAUGUACUUAUACUCGGGAGUCAGACUGCGAGUGAUAAGAUCCGUAGUCGAAAGGGAAACAGCCCAGACCACCAGUUAAGGUCCCCAAAUAUAUGUUAAGUGGAAAAGGAUGUGGGGUUGCUUAGACAACCAGGAUGUUGGCUUAGAAGCAGCCACCAUUGAAAGAGUGCGUAAUAGCUCACUGGUCGAGUGACCCCGCGCCGAAAAUGUACCGGGGCUAAACAUAUUACCGAAACUGUGGAUGAACCUCUUUAGAGGUUCGUGGUAGGAGAGCGUUCUAAGGGCGGUGAAGUCAGACCGGAAGGACUGGUGGAGCGCUUAGAAGUGAGAAUGCCGGUAUGAGUAGCGAAAGAAGGGUGAGAAUCCCUUCCACCGAAUA